rnacentral:lncRNA from 1 species
GUUUGAAAUUUUUUGAAAAACGUAUUCGCUCACCUGUUUCACACUUCAUCUUAAAGAAGAGUUAUAGUCAUAAAAGUGGAACUUUUCGUAUUUGACGGGAUUCAUUUUGAAAGAAAAUCGUAUAUUUUUGUUACUACAGAGACGUACAAAAAGUAUUUGGUCACAAUGGCGUCGUGUUAACGUUUCAAAACAAAAGUUGCAAAGUUCAUGCUUGCACUGUAAAUAAAUCAACCAAUGAUAUACAACAACAAAAAAAACUCCCUCCAAUACUUUGUUAAGUGUCGUUUUAGCCUGAUUACAUUUAAUAUCCUUUUCAAAAUCGACUCGUAUAAACACUGAAUAAAGGCAGGGGUAAUACUGACCCAAAUACGGGGGAUUUCUUGGAACAAUUCAUUU